UACGGGGGGGGCAAGCGUUGUUCGGAAUUACUGGGCGUAAAGGGCUCGUAGGUGGCCAACUAAGUCGGACGUGAAAUCCCUCGGCUUAACCGGGGAACUGCAUCCGAUACUGGAUGGCUUGAGUUCGGGAGAGGGAUGCGGAAUUCCAGGUGGUAGCGGUGAAAUGCGUAGAUAUCUGGAGGAACACCGGUGGCGAAGGCGGCAUCCUGGACCGACACUGACGCUGAGGAGCGAAAGCCAGGGGAGCAAACGGG
rnacentral:rRNA from 1 species